AGAGUUUGAUCAUGGCUCAGAACGAACGCUGGCGGCAGGCUUAACACAUGCAAGUCGAACGAUAUAGUGGCAGACGGGUGAGUAACGCGUGGAAACGUGCCUUUCACUACGGAAUAGCUUUUGGAAACGAAAGGUAAUACCGUAUACGCCCUCCGGGGGAAAGAUUUAUCGGUGAAAGGUCGGUCCGCGUUAGAUUAGCUAGUUGGUGAGGUAAAAGCUCACCAAGGCGACGAUCUAUAGCUGGUCUGAGAGGAUGAUCAGCCACACUGGGACUGAGACACGGCCCAGACUCCUACGGGAGGCAGCAGUGGGGAAUAUUGCACAAUGGGCGCAAGCCUGAUGCAGCCAUGCCGCGUGAAUGAUGAAGGCCUUAGGGUUGUAAAAUUCUUUCGCUAGGGAUGAUAAUGACAGUACCUAGUAAAGAAGCCCCGGCUAACUUCGUGCCAGCAGCCGCGGUAAUACGAAGGGGGCUAGCGUUGUUCGGAAUUACUGGGCGUAAAGCGCACGUAGGCGGACUUUUAAGUCAGAUGUGAAAUCCCAAGGCUCAACCUUGGAACUGCAUUUGAAACUGGGAGUCUAGAGAUCAGGAGAGGUUAGUGGAAUACCGAGUGUAGAGGUGAAAUUCGUAGAUAUUCGGUGGAACACCAGUGGCGAAGGCGACUAACUGGACUGAUACUGACGCUGAGGUGCGAAAGUGUGGGGAGCAAACAGGAUUAGAUACCCUGGUAGUCCACACGUAAACGAUGAGAGCUAGUUGUCUGCAGGCAUGCCUGUAGGUGACGCAGCUAACGCAUUAAGCUCUCCGCCUGGGGAGUACGGCCGCAAGGUUAAAACUCAAAGAAAUUGACGGGGGCCCGCACAAGCGGUGGAGCAUGUGGUUUAAUUCGAAGCAACGCGCAGAACCUUACCUACGCUUGACAUGCCUGGACGACUCCGAGAGAUCGGUUUCUCCCUUCGGGGCCAGUGCACAGGUGCUGCAUGGCUGUCGUCAGCUCGUGUCGUGAGAUGUUGGGUUAAGUCCCGCAACGAGCGCAACCCUCAUCCUUAGUUGCCAUCACGUUUGGGUGGGCACUCUAGGGAAACUGCCGGUGCUAAGCCGGAGGAAGGCGGGGAUGACGUCAAGUCCUCAUGGCCCUUACGCGUAGGGCUACACACGUGCUACAAUGGCGGUGACAAUGGGAUAAUCCCCAAAAACCGUCUCAGUUCGGAUUGUCGGCUGCAACUCGCCGGCAUGAAGUUGGAAUCGCUAGUAAUCGUGGAUCAGCAUGCCACGGUGAAUACGUUCCCGGGCCUUGUACACACCGCCCGUCACACCAUGGGAGUUGGAUCUACCCGAAGAUUGUGAGCUAACUUCGGAGGCAGCAAGCCACGGUAGGUUCAGCGACUGGGGUGAAGUCGUAACAAGGUAACCGUA
rnacentral:rRNA from 1 species